rnacentral:rRNA from 1 species
UCGAGGAUCUUCGGCAAUGGGCGCAAGCCUGACCGAGCGACGCCGCGUGUGCGAUGAAGGCCUUCGGGUUGUAAAGCACUGUCGAGGGGGAGGAAGCCGAAAGGUUGACCUAUCCCUGGAGGAAGCACGGGCUAAGUUCGUGCCAGCAGCCGCGGUAAGACGAACCGUGCGAACGUUGUUCGGAAUCACUGGGCUUAAAGGGCGCGUAGGCGGUCGAUCAAGUCUGGGGUGAAAUCUUUCGGCUUAACCGGAAAAGUGCCUUGGAUACUGAUUGGCUGGAGGGAGGUAGGGGCAGCUGGAACUUCCGGUGGAGCGGUGAAAUGCGUUGAUAUCGGAAGGAACGCCGGUGGCGAAAGCGAGCUGCUGGACCUCUUCUGACGCUGAGGCGCGAAAGCUAGGGGAGCAAACGGGAUUAGAUACCCCUGUAGUCC